rnacentral:rRNA from 1 species
UACGUAGGGGGCCAGCGUUGUCCGGAUUCAUUGGGCGUAAAGGGUGCGUAGGCGGCGCGGUAAGUCGGGUGUGAAAUCUCGGGGCUUAACUCCGAAACUGCAUUCGAUACUGCCGUGCUUGAGGACUGGAGAGGAGACUGGAGUUUACGGUGUAGCGGUGAAAUGCGUAGAUAUCGUAAGGAAGACCAGUGGCGAAGGCGGGUCUCUGGACAGUUCCUGACGCUGAGGCACGAAGGCCAGGGGAGCAAACGGG